GCCCUUGUAACUCAGCGGAAGAGUCACAGGUUUCUACCCUGUUGGUCGUGGGUUCAAAUCCUACCAAGGGCUCCA
rnacentral:tRNA from 1 species